rnacentral:rRNA from 1 species
UACGUAGGGUGCAAGCGUUAAUCGGAAUUACUGGGCGUAAAGCGUGCGUAGUCGGUUAUUUAAGUCGGGUGUGAAAGCCCCGGGCUCAACCUGGGAAUUGCAUUCGAUACUGGAUAGCUAGAGUUCGGCAGAGGGAAGCGGAAUUUCCGGUGUAGCGGUGAAAUGCGUUGAGAUCGGAAGGAACGCCCGUGGCGAAAGCGAGGUCCUGGACGUUUUCUGACGCUGAGACGCGAAAGCCAGGGGAGCGAAUGGG